rnacentral:rRNA from 1 species
GCGGCGUGCUUAACACAUGCAAGUCGAACGGAGAGCCUAUGACGGAGUUUUCGGACAACUGAUUAGGUUUCUUAGUGGCGGACGGGUGAGUAACGCGUGAGGAACCUGCCUUGGAGUGGGGAAUAACACAGAGAAAUUUGUGCUAAUACCGCAUAAUGCAGUUGGGUCGCAUGGCCCUGACUGCCAAAGAUUUAUCGCUCUAAGAUGGCCUCGCGUCUGAUUAGCUAGUUGGUGGGGUAACGGCCCACCAAGGCGACGAUCAGUAGCCGGACUGAGAGGUUGACCGGCCACAUUGGGACUGAGACACGGCCCAGACUCCUACGGGAGGCAGCAGUGGGGAAUAUUGGGCAAUGGGCGCAAGCCUGACCCAGCAACGCCGCGUGAAGGAAGAAGGCUUUCGGGUUGUAAACUUCUUUUAUAAGGGACGAAACAAAUGACGGUACCUUAUGAAUAAGCCACGGCUAACUACGUGCCAGCAGCCGCGGUAAUACGUAGGUGGCAAGCGUUAUCCGGAUUUACUGGGUGUAAAGGGCGUGUAGGCGGGAAAGCAAGUCAGAUGUGAAAACUAUGGGCUCAACCCAUAGCCUGCAUUUGAAACUGUUUUUCUUGAGUGUUGGAGAGGCAGGCGGAAUUCCGUGUGUAGCGGUGAAAUGCAUAGAUAUCACACAGAACACCGAUUGCGAAGGCAUCUCACGAAUCCGCGAUUGACGCUGAUGCACGAAAGCGUGGGGAUCAAACAGGAUUAGAUACCCUGGUAGUCCACGCUGUAAACGAUGAUGACUAACCGUCGGCGAUACACAGUCGGUGGCCAAGCGAAAGCGAUAAGUCAUCCACCUGGGGAGUACGACCGCAAGGUUGAAACUCAAAGGAAUUGACGGGGGCCCGCACAAGCGGAGGAACAUGUGGUUUAAUUCGAUGAUACGCGAGGAACCUUACCCGGGCUCGAACGGCAGGGGAAUGGAUCAGAGAUGGUCCAGUCUUCGGACUCCUGUCGAGGUGCUGCAUGGUUGUCGUCAGCUCGUGCUGUGAAGUGUCGGCUUAAGUGCCAUAACGAGCGCAACCCUUGCCAUUAGUUGCCAUCAGGUCAAGCUGGGGACUCUAGUGGGACUGCCACCGCAAGGUGUGAGGAAGGGGGGGAUGACGUCAAAUCAGCACGGCCCUUACGUCCGGGGCGACACACGUGUUACAAUGGUGGGUACAGAGGGAAGCUACCUGGCGACAGGAUGCAGAUCUCGAAAACCCAUCCCAGUUCGGAUUGGAGUCUGCAACCCGACUCCAUGAAGUUGGAUUCGCUAGUAAUCGCGCAUGAGCCAUGGCGCGGUGAAUACGUUCCCGGGCC